rnacentral:rRNA from 1 species
GCCAGUAUUAAAGGUCCCGCCUGCCCAGUGAAUUUUUUAACGGCCGCGGUAUCCUAACCGUGCAAAGGUAGCGCAAUCACUUGUUCUCUAAAUAAGGACUAGUAUGAACGGCACCAUGAGGAUCGACUUGUCUCUCAUAAUAAGCCUACGAAACUGAUCUUCCAGUACAAAAGCUGGAAUAUGCUAACAAGACGAGAAGACCCUGUGGAGCUUCAAACCAAACUCACCUUAUAUGAACUAACGGUUUUCAGUUGGGGCGACUCUGGAGAAAAACAAAACCUCCAAACUUUAAACUUCUAGGCCACCACGCCUACAGGCUCCUACCAUUAUGACCCAAUAUAAUUGACUAAUGAACCAAGUUACCCCAGGGAUAACAGCGCAAUCUUCUUCUAGAGUCCCUAUCGACAAGAAGGUUUACGACCUCGAUGUUGGAUCGGGGGACCCAAAUAGUGCAGCCGCUAUUAAAGGUUCGUUUGUUCAACGAUUAAAGCCCCACGUGA